GCGCGGUGUCCUUCUCUGAGCAGCUCUCGGCGCCCGCCCGCCGGGGUCUCGGCGAUCGCUGCUGCUCCUCCUCCUCCUCCGCUUUCUCCUCCUCCUCCUCCCCCCGCCGCCUCGCCACCGCCGCGGCUCGGGCUGGAGGCGCCGCUGUCAUUCCUGCGCCCGAGGAGCCGGCGCUGCCGGUGCCCGGGGGUCGGGGCGCGGGCGAGCCGGGCCGCGGGGGACCCAACAGGUAGAGCCGGGGGUGCCCGGCUGCGUGCCCCCCCGCGCAUCAUGCAGCUCUUUGUCACCUCUCUCGCCCCCAGGCCAAAAUCCUGAGCAUGAUGGAAGACAAUAAGCAGCUCGCGCUCCGCAUCGAUGGGGCGGUCCAGUCGGCCAGCCAGGAGGUGACCAACCUGCGAGCCGAACUCACGGCCACCAACCGGAGGCUGGCGGAACUGAGCGGCGGCGGCGGCGGCCCCGGCUCGGGCCCGGGAGCCGCGGCCAGCGCCUCGGCGGCGGCGGACUCGGCAGCGGCGAACAUGGAGAACCACCAGCUCGGCGCGCAAGGUAGGGACCGCCCGGCGCCCCGGGCGGAGGGGAGGCGGCCGGCACGCCGGACCCGGAGCCGGCCGCGCGCUCGGGCCCCCCACGCCCGGAGCCGAGUCGCUCCACAUCGGGGCUCCUAACGCUCUCAGCCCGGCGGUGGCCACCGCGGCUCCUUGGCUGGGAGUUGCAGGCUGCUGUCAUUAGCAAAAACCUGGGCGCGUGUGCACGGGGUCACACGGUCACACCGGCCCCGGCCAGCGUGAGCCAGGCGCAGCCGGCGGGUCCCUCCCGGCAGCAGAAAGUGCCCUUUCAUUGGCACGCAGCCCCCAGCUCCGUGGCAAACUUUUCAUG